GCUGGGCACAGUGGUGCAUGCCUGUAAUCCCAGUGACUCGGGAGGCUGAGGCAGGAGGAUCGCAAGUUCAAAGCCAGCCUCAGCAAUAGCAAGGCACUAAGCAACUCAGUGAGACCCUGUCUCUA
rnacentral:sRNA from 1 species